CCUUGCAGAAGGCACAGUGCUCUGUAAUCAGGCACUUUGGUGGCUGGAUACAGCUGUUCUGUGGAGUUUUUGAGGAACAGAAAGCUAUGCCAAAAGCAGCACGAGACGCAGAAGAGGACUGGAAGAUGCUCUGUCCUGCUUUUGCCUUGACCCUGCUGCCCUUUCUUGAGUGACUGAAGAAGCUGACAAGACACAGGAAGAAACUACUGAUGGAAGGUGGCCAGAUAACAGAAACUACACCACAGUACUGUGACAGAGUUUGAAUAAGAGGGCACUGUUUCUUGGAAACUGCUGGAAACAUUUAUCUCCCCUUCUUUUGGGCUGAAACUGUGAGUGUUCUGCACCCUUGCUCUGCACCUCCUCUUUGUUUUCCCCUUCUUGUGAUUUAUUGGGCUGGGUUCUGUGGCUGCUUCUUGGCUGAUUGCAGCUAAGGUAUGUAAAUUGCUUUUUAACAGCUAAUAUGCACCCACACUCCUGAAAAGAAAAAAAAAAAAGGCAAAAUAAUAUUGUCAACAGUGAGUUAUAGGAGAUCAAGAAAACAUCCAGAGGUGAAAGUCAGUGGCUGGCUGGCGAAGUCCUGCAUACUGUCACAGCUGUGUUCAGAAUAAUCCAAGUGGAAAGCAA
rnacentral:lncRNA from 1 species